rnacentral:rRNA from 1 species
CCUACGGUGCGCAGCAGUGGGGAAUAUUGGACAAUGGGCGAAAGCCUGAUCCAGCCAUGCCGCGUGUGUGAAGAAGGCCUUCGGGUUGUAAAGCACUUUCAGUGGGGAAGAAAGCCUUGGGGCUAAUACCCUCGAGGAAGGACAUCACCCACAGAAGAAGCACCGGCUAACUCCGUGCCAGCAGCCGCGGUAAUACGGAGGGUGCGAGCGUUAAUCGGAAUUACUGGGCGUAAAGCGCGCGUAGGCGGUCUGAUAAGCCGGUUGUGAAAGCCCCUGGCUCAACCUGGGAACGGCAUCCGGAACUGUCAGGCUAGAGUGAAGGAGAGGAAGGUAGAAGUCCCGGUGUAGCGGUGAAAUGCGUAGAGAUCGGGAGGAAUACCAGUGGCGAAGGCGGCCUUCUGGACUGACACUGACGCUGAGGUGCGAAAGCGUGGGUAGCAAACAGGAUUAGAUACCCUAGUAGUC